GCCAGUGUAGCGUAGUGGUUAGAGUGUCGGACUAGUAUCCGGGAGAUCAGGGUUCAAAUCCCCACUCAGUCA